rnacentral:rRNA from 1 species
GACGAACGCUGGCGGCGUGCCUAAUACAUGCAAGUCGAGCGAGAAAGCCUCUUCGGAGGUGAGUAAAGCGGCGCACGGGUGAGUAACACGUGGGCAACCUACCCUUGAGUCUGGGAUAACCCGGGGAAACUCGGGCUAAUACCAGAUACGGCUGCGGGGUCUUCGGAUCCUGUGGAGAAAGAUGGCCUCUUCUUGAAAGCUAUCUCUCGAGGAUGGGCCCGCGUCCUAUUAGCUAGNGGUGAGGUAACGGCUCACCAAGGCAAAGAUGGGUAGCUGGUCUGAGAGGAUGGCCAGCCACACUGGAACUGAGACACGGGUCCAGACUCCUACGGGAGGCAGCAGUAGGGAAUUUUGGGCAAUGGGCGAAAGCCUGACCCAGCAACGCCGCGUGUGGGAUGAAGGCCCUCGGGUCGUAAACCACUGUCAGGAGGAAAGAAAAGCCGGCCGGCUAACAUCCGGUCGGCCUGACGGUACCUCCAAAGGAAGCACCGGCUAACUCCGUGCCAGCCGCCGCCGUAAC